rnacentral:rRNA from 1 species
GGACGAACGCUGGCGGCGUGCCUAACACAUGCAAGUCGAACGAAGUAUGUUUUUCGGAAUAUACUUAGUGGCGGACGGGUGAGUAACGCGUGAACAAUCUGCCCUGUACAGAGGAAUAGCCUCGGGAAACCGGGAUUAAAACCGCAUAAAACUAUAGUAUCGCAUGAUACAUUAGUCAAAUUGAUUAAGAGGUAUAGGAUGAGUUCGCGUCUGAUUAGCUAGUUGGUGGGGUAAAGGCCUACCAAGGCGACGAUCAGUAGCCGGCCUGAGAGGGUGAACGGCCACACUGGAACUGAGACACGGUCCAGACUCCUACGGGAGGCAGCAGUGGGGAAUAUUGCACAAUGGAGGAAACUCUGAUGCAGCGACGCCGCGUGAGUGAAGAAGGUCUUCGGAUCGUAAAACUCUGUCCUUGGUGAAGAUAAUGACGGUAGCCAAGGAGGAAGCCCCGGCUAACUACG